CGAGUGAAGCGGCAACAGCUCAAAUUUGAAAUCUGGCCUCGGCCCGAGUUGUAAUUUGCAGAGGAUGCUUCUGGCGCGGUGCCUUCCGAGUUCCCUGGAACGGGACGCCACAGAGGGUGAGAGCCCCGUAUGGUCGGACACCAAGCCUGUGUGAAGCUCCUUCGACGAGUCGAGUAGUUUGGGAAUGCUGCUCUAAAUGGGAGGUAAAUCUCUUCUAAAGCUAAAUACCGGCCAGAGACCGAUAGCGCACAAGUAGAGUGAUCGAAAGAUGAAAAGCACCUUGAAAAGGGGGUUAAAUAGUACGUGAAAUUGUUGAAAGGGAAGCACUUAUGACCAGACUUGGGCCGGGCGGCUCAUCAGGGGUUCUCCCCUGUGCACUCCGCCCGGCACAGGCCAGCAUCGGUUCUCGUGGGGGGAUAAGACCGUCAGGAACGUAGCACCCUCCGGGGUGUGUUAUAGCCUGGCGGACGAUACCCCCGUGGGGACCGAGGUCCGCGCUCCGCAAGGAUGCUGGCGUAAUGGUCAUCAGUGACCCGUCUUGAAACACGGACCAAGGAGUCGUCCAUUAGAGCGAGCGUUUGGGUGUAAAACCCGCACGCGUAAUGAAAGUGAACGCAGGUGAGAGCUUCGGCGCAUCAUCGACCGAUCCUGAUGUUCUCGGAAGGAUUUGAGUAAGAGUUUUAACGGACGGACCCGAAAGACAGUGAACUAUGCUUGAAUAGGGUGAAGCCAGAGGAAACUCUGGUGGAGGCUCGCAGCGGUUCUGACGUGCAAAUCGAUCGUCAAAUUUGAGCAUGGGGGCGAAAGACUAAUCGAACUG
rnacentral:rRNA from 1 species